AUAGCACAGAUUUGAAAGUUACAAAAGAGAUAAAAAAAGAUCAUUGACCUAAAUUAAUCACUGGAUUGUAGUGAGUGAUUCAGCUGUUACAAAAAUGUCAUGUUGGGAGUUUAAAAUAUAAUUCACUAUACCAUAUUUUGUGUCAAGUCAUAGACACGGUUUAAACAGAAUGAUGGAGAUACAAUUAACUUUUGAAUGUUACAUUAGUGAUGCAAUUGCAAUAACAAUAAAAAACAAAGCAAACCGGAAUAGAGUUCCCAUUGUGGUUCAGUGGGUUAAGAACCAACAUAGUGUCCAUGAGGAUGUGCGUUUGAUCCCUGUCCUCACUCAUGGGGUUGAGGAUCUGGUGUUGCCACAAGCUAUGGCAUAUAUUGCAGCUGCAGCUCAGAUUCCACCCCUAGCCUGGGAAUUUCCAUACACCAUAGGUUUGGCCAUUUAUUUUUAAUAAAAUAAAAAGACAAGACGGAAAUGGCAUAAGCAAGAUAAUUUUUUUUUCUUUCUCACAGAGUAGUUCAGGGUUACUUUAACAGCCCAAAGCUGGUUUUCUGAUCUUUAAUAUAUGACUUUCUUCUUUAGGUCCAAUUUAGUUGCUUAAAUUGUUACCAGACAGCAGCAUGUCAAACAGACCACAGCUCACCCACAGUCACUUUCUGGGCAUAACCUGAAAAUCACAGACCACAUUCUACACAUGUUCCAUUGGGCAGAACUUUGUCCCAUCAUUAUAUGAAAUUGCAAGAAAAGCUGAGAAAUAUACUCUCUCAAUGGUUAACCUAGUAACCAGUUAAAACUAGAAAGUUCUAUUAUUAAGAAAUAAGAAAAUAAUUGCUUGUGGAUAUCUAGUCAUCUCUGCUACAGUAACAUGCAGGUCUUAUGUGUCCAAAACUUGCGCAUAACAAUCUUGAAGAACUUGUUAAGAAACAGAUUGUGAUCUAUUAGGUCUGAGAUGGAAUCUGAAGUUAUACUUCUAACAAGCUCCCAAGUGGUGCCAUUGCUAAUUGUCUAAGGAUCAAACUUUGACUUUCAAGAUUCUAGCCUGUAUCCUACUCAGAAGAAUUGCUCUUUGAGUCAGAUCUGAAAUUGACCAAUGUUCAGGUUAAGUAAUACUUUUAUUCUUUGGUCAUUCUUUUCUAUUUCUUGUAUAUGGUGAUGGUGAUGGAGAGAGAAAUCACAAAGAAUGCACUAACUUUGUGAAUAAAGUUAGAAAUAAGUGGACUUUAUACAAGAAAAAAUUGCGGCAGAUUUUCUCAUUGUUAAAGUAGGGUAUUGAAUUUAUCACUCAGACAGUUAAUCAUAAUAAUGAACUGAGAAACAGGAUGAAAUUGUGGUGAGGUGGUAUGUGGGUGAAUGCAUGCUAGAAAGGGUGAGAAGAGAAAUUAAAUCUGUGUAUGAAUUGAGAAAAUAUAGUAUAUUUCAAAGGGCAAAAGCAGAAUUGUUAAAAGUGAACUUCUGUUCAAUAACAGGAUAGUAGAUUUUAUUUUGAACUUUUCUUUGUACAGCUGAAAACAAUUAUUCUCUCUCUCUCUCCACACACACACACACACACACACACACACACACAAGCAUAUGUAUACAUGUGAACAGUAGAAAGAUCAGAUAUUUUUAUUUCUAUUUUGCAAAUAUAUACCAUAGGUACAAUUGGUAAAAACUGGGAUAGAUAGAAACAUAUAAUGCAAACACAUCUGUAGGAUCUACCACCUUGGAGUAGGCAACAAUUACCCAAUAAUGAGCAAGACUUUGAAACUACAAAAACUCCUUCAAUAUUUCUAGUAAGUAAAUAUAACUAUUUCAAAAAAAAAAAAAAAAAAAAAGGACUGUCCAUUGUGGCUCAGUGGUUAACAAAUCCAACUAGGAAGCAUGAAGUUGCGGGAUAAAUCCCUGGCCUCGUUCAGUGGGUUAAGGAUCUGGCAUUGCUAUGAGCUGUGGCGUAGGCUGCAGACGCAGCUCAGAUCCAGCAUGGCUGUAGCUGUGGUGUAGGCCAGAGGGUACAGCUCCGAUUAGACCCCUAGCCUGGAAACCUCCAAAUGCCACGGGUAUGGGCCUAGAAAAGACUAAAUAUAUAUAAUAACCAUUUCUAACUUGCCCUCAUAAUUCAUCCCCAAAAAUAUACCUUAUGUAUUUUUUAACGUUGAAACUUCUAACAUAUGAUCUCUAGAAAAAAGAUGAUCAGAGGGUUUUUCACAGUUUAUUUUCUGAGUGAAAAUUCACUCUGAGAGUAGAACUACAUAGCAUCAUAGUGCUUAAGGUCCACAGGGCUAGGAUCAUUACAUACCCAUCACAUGCUUGCUGGUGGUUAGGAGCAAGAAAGGAAAAUGAAGCUUCCUAAACGUCUCUGAAAAGUGUAUUGUCUCUGAUAUGUUUAGUUCUCACCAUAAGCAAAAUACUGGCAGUCUAAGAUGCAGAUUGAAUUAUGGUGCAUCUCCACCUUCUGAGAAUUUAUUAUCUAGUAGGGGAGAUGAGAAAUUGAUGUACAAAAAUUGCCAUAGACUAUAAAAAUGCCUCUGAUUAGUUCCAAAAGCCUAGUUAAAACUAUGCCUGUCAUAGGCAUUUUACAAAAUGAUCAAUACUGGUUGGACUAAUUGGGAAGGAGUUCAUAGAAUCACAGGAUAAGAAGACAUUCAGAGGUCUACAAAUCUAACACAUUACUCAUCCAGUCUCCCCCUGGAUCACACCACCACGUUUUUUCCAAAUUUGUACUUAAAAACAUAUAGGAAUGGCAAACUAAUCACCUUCUAAAUUAGGUCAUUCUGUUGGCUCCAAGAUUAAAUAUUCUAAUAAAUAGUGAUUUACCUAAUUAAAUCUUAGAUUUGAAUGCUGUCUUUAAAAAUAGUGGAAAUUCUGUAAGCCAAGAUUAUUCCAGGUUGGGGGGGGAAUAAAGGAUUAUAUAGAAAAACACAAGAACAUAUCAAAUGAAAGAACUUGAUAAUGGAUGCCCAGAGUGAAAAACAAAACAAAACUAACUUAUAUGAAUGUAAGCUAAGAGUUUGGGCUCAGUCUUAUAACAAUAGAAUACCUAUUGAAAAUGUUGAGAAGGCACUCACCAUGAGGGAUUACAUGCUGUAAGGAUGCUCAUCUGUCAUGGUACUCUAGAUAGAUUGGAGAAAAACAUAAACUAAAGACCAGCAAAAUAGUAAUCAAAGGUGAGAGAAGUGAGAGGGAGAAAGCCUUGAGCAACAUGAUCACAGCCUCAGCUGAAUGGUAGCAGGUGUGUACAUGUCUUACACACACACACAUAAUUUUCCCUCAUACCCUAGAACUUCUAACUGCCAAUAUCUGCGUAUCAGUGUCCAGAAUUUUUUCUGACAUUCAUUCAGUUUGAUAUAUCACUGCUGGAAAAUCAACAUCCCUCCACAUCAGUCCUUAAGUAAUGAUGAGGAGGAGUAUUUUAAUACCCCAAGCCCACUGAUCAUCAAGCAGGAUAUUUCUUAUUUUUUUCCCCUUGUUUCCAUCUUCCCUAUGGCAUUAAGCUUCAUUCACCUACUAUGGCCUAAUAACACAUCAUUGGCUAUCUACCUUUCCCUGUAUCACUUUCCCAUUUCUCUCUCACAUUCCCCAUACCUACUAAUAAUAAGCUACUUUUGCUUCAACAGUCUAAUUAGGAUCUGCUUUUAAAAGAACCCAAAAUUAAGGCAUUAAUUUUUGUUAAAAAUUGAUAAAAAGAUUUUUGGAUGAAUGUUUGCAUGUUGAAGGUCUCCAUAGCAGUUUAAAAUGUUUUGAAGUGUACUAGGUCAAAGUCAUUAAAUAAUUAAUUUCGUACUUAAUGAAUGCCUGCUAUAUGCUAAGCACUGCUUUAGAGGCUAGAAGUAAGAGUAAAAAAACCAAACAUAAUGCCCACUCUCCUGUAGUUCAUAUUGUAGGGAAUAUUUUAUUUAAUGAUAAGACCAGCAAAUGUAAAGUUUGGAGCAGAGAUAAAUGCUGCAGAGGACACAUUAGGGUGUAGCUGUGAGAAUACAUAACAAAAGAAAUUAAUUCAGAGAAGUUGAUCACAAUUAGACAAAGAAAUCAAAAUUAUGUUGAGAUUCAAAGACAAAAAGAAAAGAUGUGUGCAGAAAUUUUAUAUUAAAAGGAAUUGUGGGAGUUCCCACUGUGGCACAACGGAAUUUUUUGCAGCUUCUUAGGAGCCCUGGGACACGAGUUUGAUCCUUGGCACAGCACAGUGGUU
ensembl:lncRNA